UGGGGAAUAGCUCAGUGGUAGAGCACGUGCUUUGCAUGCAUGAGGUCCUGGGUUCAAUGCCCAGUACCUCUA